UCCCUGGUGGCUCAGAUGGUAAAGCAUCUGCCUGCAAUGCAGGAAACCCAGGUUCCAUCCCUGGGUUGGGAA
rnacentral:tRNA from 1 species